CCGGGGCGCUGCUGGGGACAGCGGUUUAAUCGCCAUUGUUUCAGCUCGUUCAGCAGACAGGAGGGCUUGGAGGUGGCAGCACGCUUCCUCUUCCCAGUGUGGGAGCUGUGGGAGCCUGCCUGCGACGGAUUCGGCACGGACUGGCCCGGGUGACUUCACCCACCCGCCCGUGGGGUCCAUCCCGGCGUGGCACAGGAGAGCACCGAAAAACCCCGUGGCUUUGCUGUCCCAUAAACCUGCACAUGGCAUCAUUAACUCCGCUGCAGAUCGAUGUUACAGUGGCCAGACUGCUUGGCAGAGAGAAACUGGCUGGCGGGUUCCCGUCUCUGUGCCCUAAUCUUACCUGCUCAAACCUAACUUUGCCAAGCAAGGGUUAUUUCACUAAGUGAAGGGACCAUGUCAAGCUUAUUUCUGUAAGGUGAACGUGGCGUUGCCUUGUACAGUACAAAUAGGGCAUGAAUUAGGAGAAUAUUAAUAUUAUUAGAAUUCUAUUUAUGCUAUUUUUCUAAUCUAAUAUCUUGUUUACAGUGGGAUUUUGAACAGUUCCAGCCCUCAACAAAAGCAAUUAGUAGAGGCACACCAAGGCCAUGCACGGGUUUAGACAAAUAAACCACACUCAGUGUCAACAUCUUUCGUGGUAGGACUGAUGCAGACGGGAUCUGCUGGCAGCUGUGCCAUGGUUUGUAAGUCAUCUCCCCAGCUAAACGUGUCACCUCUGCCAGGUAACCACCUCCAGCACAGGGAAGUGUGAGCGUCAUGGCUUGGCUGCAUGUCAGGCUCAAUCUGACUGUUCAUGGCUCUCUCCCUUUACCAGCUGUUCCCUGGUGCCAGCAGUGAGCAAAGGAUUGGGCGGUAACAGUUUUGUAAACUGCCAUGGCAAGACUUGCCCCUCAGCUUCUGUAGUUCCAGUAAAGAAUAAGCUCUUCUGAUACAAAUUGCAGAUUUUGUUCUCCAACAGGGGCUUGGUUGUGCUGGGACAGGUGAGGCUGGGCCAGAAGACUUUUGCAGACAGCUGCUCAGCUUUUCUGAAAAAGGAGGGCAGAGCUUGAUGCUGGAAAGGAGAGCUCCUGAAAUGCAGAGCCAAGCUACUUCCCUGAGAAAUACUCCCAUUAAUUUCAGUGAGGAGCAAAGUUUGAGGACGCUGCUGAAGAGCCCAGACCUGCACACAGCUGCAUUUCAACAGCUGAAGUGCCAGCACUAUCCUGGCUUUAUAUUGAGGUUGUAGAAAUGUUCUGGAACACGUGAUGUGUACACCAUGACUGGAAGGCUGGCUGCUUUGUGGUUCUGGCAAAAAACUGGGCUGACUGCUGUAAAAACAGUGCACUGACACCUUCAAAGGUACACACAGAGGUGUUGCAUCUUGUCUCCAUCUCCUCUCAUUCCCUCUGCUCCUCUUUGACUCUUUCUUCUGCCUUCUCCCAAGCCACUGUAGUUUUCAUUUCCUUCCCUGCUGCCUUGGACAUUUGAUCUAGACUCACAAAUGUGUCAGAGUUCUUCUCCUUACACUUUUCAAAGCCUGUUUUUCCACCUUUGUUCUGUAGACACAGAUCUGAAACCAGUGUAACUUCCUGUUGCUGGAGCAUCAAAGAUAAACAAAUUCAAGAUACAGUAAAAAAAAA